UUAUUACUCACUCCGUCCAAGAAAAGAUGUCUUAAGUUUGUCAAAAUUUGAAUAAAUCUAGACAUAACUUAGUGUAUAAAUGCAUUCAAAUUUGGUCAAAGUUGAGACAUGCUUUGUUGGACGGAGGGAGUAUAUG
rnacentral:pre_miRNA from 1 species